UCUCUCUCCCUCACGCUGAAGUUCCGCCGCCGCCUUGUGAAGGCCGGCGAGCGGCGCCGCCUCACUCCCUCUCUCACUCCACACCUCUCAAAUUCUCAAUUCAGCCUAUCCUCUUCUGCAAAUUUCGAGCCCUAGCUCUAUCUCUGAAAUCGCAGCGCCGUCACCUCGGAUCUGAAAAUCCGGCGAGGCCGACGCUAAAUUACUCAACCGGAAACAAAUUCGACUGCUCCUCUCUUCCCCGUGCUGUAGCAGAUCAGUCGUCGUUGUUGGGUCUGUAAACCCAGCGACUAGCGGUCGCCGUUUGUCCUUGGCGCCGCUCUCCCCAUUCUUCAGCAAGAUACUAUCUUGCUGAAGCCGCUGCUCCGGCUUCUGAACCAUCGCUGCCCCUGCUCGAACUCCGGCGAGCCAGCAUCAUUCAAGGCAAAGCUAAGUGAACUAUGGAAGAAUGGGGAAGUUCAAGCUACAACUUACCUCUUCGAAAUCAAGGCUGGAGUUAAAAGAAACAACCCUCCCUCUCUGAACCUUGGUGCGCCUAAAAGAAGGAAAAGAAUUAUGGCUGGUGUU